GUUCAGUCAAGCCACAGUUCCAGAGCUCGAUGGCCACAGGUGGCUCCUGUGUCUACGAGACAGGCAGAGGGCCAGGCUAGUGCUGCACCAUGCAUUCAGGAAGGGAGCAGGAACCUCCUCUCUUCAUUCUCUACCCUUCUCUCUGGAAUCUCAUGGGAAUCUCCUCUCGGUGACUGUUCUUAUUGCCACGUGAACAACGGACCAAGGAGGAUGGAGGGGAGAAAAGAGACUUGACAGUUUCCUGCCCCAGCUGGAAACAGAUGGCUCACUUAAACUGGAUAAUUUGAAGAGCAUGAAUAGAGGAAUUGUUUACAGAGUUGUCACAGGAUACAGGAAUCAAAAAGACAGUGAUGUUUCCACAGGCUGGCAAAAUCUGGAAGCCCACCCUUGUGAGAAGAGAGAAGCCAGGACCCCUGGUGAGGGGAUCAUGCUGAGCCCCUACACAGCUGCAGGCGGAGGACUGGUCGUGAAGGAAAGGUGGACCUUGUGAUUAGAGGUUUGGGGCUUGGAGCCAGGUGAUAUCAGCCUGACCCCCAGGGAGGGCGGGGGCUGGAGCUGGAGUUUGAUCACCUGGCAAUGACUCCCAUCAAUCACACCCAUGGAAUGAAGCCCCAGUAAGAACUCUGGCCACCGAGGCUCAAGGA
rnacentral:lncRNA from 10 species